rnacentral:rRNA from 1 species
ACGAUAACGGCGUCGAGCGGCGGACGGGUGAGUAAUGCCUAGGAAAUUGCCCUGAUGUGGGGGAUAACCAUUGGAAACGAUGGCUAAUACCGCAUGAUGCCUACGGGCCAAAGAGGGGGACCUUCGGGCCUCUCGCGUCAGGAUAUGCCUAGGUGGGAUUAGCUAGUUGGUGAGGUAAGGGCUCACCAAGGCGACGAUCCCUAGCUGGUCUGAGAGGAUGAUCAGCCACACUGGAACUGAGACACGGUCCAGACUCCUACGGGAGGCAGCAGUGGGGAAUAUUGCACAAUGGGCGCAAGCCUGAUGCAGCCAUGCCGCGUGUGUGAAGAAGGCCUUCGGGUUGUAAAGCACUUUCAGUCGUGAGGAAGGUAGUGUAGUUAAUAGCUGCAUUAUUUGACGUUAGCGACAGAAGAAGCACCGGCUAACUCCGUGCCAGCAGCCGCGGUAAUACGGAGGGUGCGAGCGUUAAUCGGAAUUACUGGGCGUAAAGCGCAUGCAGGUGGUUUGUUAAGUCAGAUGUGAAAGCCCGGGGCUCAACCUCGGAAUUGCAUUUGAAACUGGCAGACUAGAGUACUGUAGAGGGGGGUAGAAUUUCAGGUGUAGCGGUGAAAUGCGUAGAGAUCUGAAGGAAUACCGGUGGCGAAGGCGGCCCCCUGGACAGAUACUGACACUCAGAUGCGAAAGCGUGGGGAGCAAACAGGAUUAGAUACCCUGGUAGUCCACGCCGUAAACGAUGUCUACUUGGAGGUUGUGGCCUUGAGCCGUGGCUUUCGGAGCUAACGCGUUAAGUAGACCGCCUGGGGAGUACGGUCGCAAGAUUAAAACUCAAAUGAAUUGACGGGGGCCCGCACAAGCGGUGGAGCAUGUGGUUUAAUUCGAUGCAACGCGAAGAACCUUACCUACUCUUGACAUCCAGAGAACUUUCCAGAGAUGGAUUGGUGCCUUCGGGAACUCUGAGACAGGUGCUGCAUGGCUGUCGUCAGCUCGUGUUGUGAAAUGUUGGGUUAAGUCCCGCAACGAGCGCAACCCUUAUCCUUGUUUGCCAGCGAGUAAUGUCGGGAACUCCAGGGAGACUGCCGGUGAUAAACCGGAGGAAGGUGGGGACGACGUCAAGUCAUCAUGGCCCUUACGAGUAGGGCUACACACGUGCUACAAUGGCGCAUACAGAGGGCRGCCAACUUGCGAAAGUGAGCGAAUCCCAAAAAGUGCGUCGUAGUCCGGAUUGGAGUCUGCAACUCGACUCCAUGAAGUCGGAAUCGCUAGUAAUCGUGGAUCAGAAUGCCACGGUGAAUACGUUCCCGGGCCUUGUACACACCGCCCGUCACACCAUGGGAGUGGGCUGCAAAAGAAGUAGGUAGUUUAACCUUCGGGGGGACGCUUACCACUUUGUGGUUCAUGACUGGGGUGAAGUCGUAACAAGGUAGCGCUAGGGGAACCUGGCGCUGGAUC